GACGAACGCUGGCGGCGUGCUUAACACAUGCACGUCGCGCGGAGCGGCGAACGGGUGAGUAACGCGUGAGUAACUGCCCCCCUCCCUGGGAUAACAGUUGGAAACGGCUGCUAAUACCGGUUAGUGGGGGAUGACUCGUGUCCUAUCAGCUUGUUGGUGUGGUAGUGGCCUACCACGGCGCCGACGGGUAGCCGGCCUGAGAGGGGGACCGGCGACAUGGGGCUGAGAUACGGCCCAAACUCAUACGGGAGGCAGCAGUGGGGAAUAGUGCACAAUGGGGGAAACCAUGAUGCAGCAACGCCGCGUGCGGGAGGACGGCCGUCGGGUUGUAAACCGCUUUCAGCCAUGACGCGGUAGUGGCAGAAGAAGCACCGGCUAACUACGUGCCAGCAGCCGCGGUAAUAC
rnacentral:rRNA from 1 species